UACUAUUUUACCCUUCUCUU
rnacentral:sRNA from 1 species